rnacentral:rRNA from 1 species
UGGGGAAUAUUGGACAAUGGGCGAAAGCCUGAUCCAGCAAUACCGCGUGUGUGACGAAGGCCUUCGGGUCGUAAAGCACUUUCAGUAGGGAAGAUGGCAGAUGUGUUAAUAGCGCAAUCUGUUGACGUUACCUACAAAAGAAGCACCGGCUAACUCUGUGCCAGCAGCCGCGGUAAGACAGAGGGUGCGAGCGUUAAUCGGAAUUACUGGGCGUAAAGCGCAUGUAGGCGGAUGUUUAAGUCAGAUGUGAAAGCCCGGAGCUUAACUCCGGAACUGCAUUUGAUACUGGGCAUCUAGAGUAUGGUAGAGGAAAGUGGAAUUUCUGGUGUAGCGGUGAAAUGCAUAGAUAUCAGAAGGAACAUCAGUGGCGAAGGCGGCUUUCUGGACCAAUACUGACGCUGAGAUGCGAAAGCGUGGGGAGCAAACAGG